rnacentral:rRNA from 1 species
UACGUAGGGUGCAAGCGUUGUCCGGAAUUAUUGGGCGUAAAGAGCUCGUAGGCGGUUUGUCGCGUCUGCUGUGAAAAUCCAGGGCUUAACCCUGGACCUGCAGUGGGUACGGGCAGACUAGAGUGCGGUAGGGGAGAUCGGAAUUCCUGGUGUAGCGGUGAAAUGCGCAGAUAUCAGGAGGAACACCGGUGGCGAAGGCGGAUCUCUGGGUCGUAACUGACGCUGAGGAGCGAAAGCAUGGGGAGCGAACAGG